rnacentral:rRNA from 1 species
GACGAGGGGUCCAAGCGUUGUCCGGAAUCAUUGGGCGUAAAGCGCGUGUAGGCGGUCCGGUAAGUCCGCUGUGAAAGUCGGGGGCUCAACCCUCGGAUGCCGGUGGAUACUGUCGGGCUAGAGUGCGGGAGAGGCGAGUGGAAUUCCUGGUGUAGCGGUGAAAUGCGCAGAUAUCAGGAGGAACACCGAUUGCGAAGGCAGCUCGCUGGAACGUUACUGACGCUGA